ensembl:lncRNA
GGCCUGCAGAGAGCCGGCACUAUCUCUACUGCUGCUGCUGCUGCUGCUGCCACCGCUGCCGCUGCCGCCGCCACUACUGCUGUCAGUAGAGCUGCUGGGAGUGAGCCUCCCUUCUUCCAGAUACCCAGCUCCGUUGCGUAGUCCGCUCCCUGGCCCCGCACGGACCUCCCCGCCCCAGGGAACAAAAGCAGAGUCCGGUCGCCCUGUUCUGCAGCCAGAGGAUGAUGAGUCUAGAGCUCUGAACAGAGUGUGGUCUUCAGCGGCUGGAAGCUGCUCCCUGCCCUUUCUCCAUGAUUCCUGACUUGUGGCCCUGGCAAUCUCAGAAGAGCUUCACUGAAUUCCCUUGCGACCAGAACCUGGGGACUCGCUUCCCCCAGCAUCACCCCUGUGCAGCCUGGACACACUGACUGAACCAGUCUUUAGGACACUUAGUUCACUCUCUUCCCUCUUGACUCCACUGUCUCCCAAACAACAGAGUAUCUUUUACGAAUUGCCACCACAAAUUGGAUGCAAGACUAGAAGAUCCAUCAUCCCUCCCCACCCCCAACACUCUUCCUGACCUUAUAUCCAUUUUCUGUUCAUCUCUACUAGCCACGUAACAAUCCCAACAUGCACAAAAUUAAAUUCUUGGUACUUUUAUUCAUCAGAUCGUGAGUGGGACCACUUCUCCAAACCAUUGCUCAUCACUGGACAUGCCUUACACUUCAUGGUCUCAUAUGUGUUUUCCUCAUCUCUAUUUGACCUGGAGAGACAUGUGUGGUUUAGCAGAAGUGGCAGAGUAAAUGGUGGGUCUGUAAGAAACAAAAGAAAUGGAUCAUUCUCAAAGAUGAGGGCAGUGAGUU